GUUUUAAUAAUUUAAAUAAAAUAUUGGUCUUGUAAACCAACAAUAAGGUUAUACCUUUUAAAACU
rnacentral:tRNA from 1 species